AUACGGAGGGGGCUAGCGUUGUUCGGAAUUACUGGGCGUAAAGCGUACGUAGGCGGACUGAUCAGUUGGGGGUGAAAUCCCAGGGCUUAACCCUGGAACUGCCUUCAAUACUGUCAGUCUUGAGUUUGGGAGAGGUGAGUGGAAUUCCUAGUGUAGAGGUGAAAUUCAUAGAUAUUAGGAGGAACACCAGUGGCGAAGGCGGCUCACUGGCCCAUUACUGACGCUGAAGUACGAAAGCGUGGGGAGCAAACAGGAUUAGAUACCCUAGUAGUCC
rnacentral:rRNA from 1 species